rnacentral:rRNA from 1 species
GAUGAACGCUGGCGGCGUGCCUAAUACAUGCAAGUCGAGCGAACAGACGAGGAGCUUGCUCCUCUGACGUUAGCGGCGGACGGGUGAGUAACACGUGGAUAACCUACCUAUAAGACUGGGAUAACUUCGGGAAACCGGAGCUAAUACCGGAUAAUAUAUUGAACCGCAUGGUUCAAUAGUGAAAGACGGUUUUGCUGUCACUUAUAGCUGGAUCCGCGCCGCAUUAGCUAGUUGGUAAGGUAACGGCUUACCAAGGCAACGAUGCGUAGCCGACCUGAGAGGGUGAUCGGCGACACUGGAGCUGAGACGCGGUCCGUACUCCUACGGGAGGCAGCAGUAGGGAAUCUUCCGCAAUGGGCGAAAGCUUGACGGAGCAACGCCGCGUGAGUGAUGAAGAUCUUCGGAUCGUAAAACUCUGUUAUUAGGGAAGAACAAAUGUGGAAGUAACUAUGCACGUCUUGACGGUACCUAAUCAGAAAGCCACGGCUAACUACGUG